AUUGAACGCUGGCGGCAUGCUUUACACAUGCAAGUCGAACGGCAGCACGGACUUCGGUCUGGUGGCGAGUGGCGAACGGGUGAGUAAUACAUCGGAACGUACCCAGUAAUGGGGGAUAACUAGUCGAAAGAUUAGCUAAUACCGCAUACGCCCUACGGGGGAAAGAGGGGGAUCGCAAGACCUCUUGUUAUUGGAGCGGCCGAUGGCUGAUUAGCUAGUUGGUGGGGUAAAGGCCUACCAAGGCGACGAUCAGUAGCGGGUCUUAGAGGACGAUCCGCCACACUGGAACUGAGACACGGUCCAGACUCCUACGGGAGGCAGCAGUGGGGAAUCUUGGACAAUGGGCGAAAGCCUGAUCCAGCAAUGCCGCGUGCGUGAAGAAGGCCUUCGGGUUGUAAAGCGCUUUUGUCUGGGAGCAAAUCCUUGUGGCUAAUACCCACCGGGAUGAGAGUACCAGAAGAAUAAGGACCGGCUAACUACGUGCCAGCAGCCGCGGUAA
rnacentral:rRNA from 1 species